rnacentral:rRNA from 1 species
GACGAACGCUGGCGGCGUGCCUAAUACAUGCAAGUAGAACGCUGAAGAGAGGAGCUUGCUCUUCUUGGAUGAGUUGCGAACGGGUGAGUAACGCGUAGGUAACCUGCCUUGUAGCAGGGGAUAACUAUUGGAAACGAUAGCUAAUACCGCAUAACAAUGGAUGACACAUGUCAUUUAUUUGAAAGGGGCAAUUGCUCCACUACAAGAUGGACCUGCGUUGUAUUAGCUAGUAGGUGAGGUAAUGGCUCACCUAGGCGACGAUACAUAGCCGACCUGAGAGGGUGAUCGGCCACACUGGGACUGAGACACGGCCCAGACUCCUACGGGAGGCAGCAGUAGGGAAUCUUCGGCAAUGGGGGCAACCCUGACCGAGCAACGCCGCGUGAGUGAAGAAGGUUGUCGGAUCGUAAAGCUCGGUUGUAAGUCAAGAACGGGUGUGAGAGUGGAAAGUUCACACUGUGACGGUAGCUUACCAGAAAGGGACGGCUAACUACGUG